rnacentral:rRNA from 1 species
UACGUAGGGGGCUAGCGUUGUCCGGAAUCAUUGGGCGUAAAGCGCGCGUAGGCGGGGGAUUAAGUGAGAGGUGAAAGGCUGAGGCUCAACCUCAUGCAGUGCCUCUCAUACUGGUCUUCUUGAGGGCGGUAGGGAGAAGUGGAAUGGCUGGUAUAGCGGUGAAAUGCGUAGAUAUCAGUCGGAACACCGGUGGCGAAGGCGGGUCUCUGGGCAACUACUGACGCUGGAGGAGCGAAAGCGUGGGGAGCGAACAGG